rnacentral:rRNA from 1 species
GAUGAACGCUGGCGGCGUGCCUAAUACAUGCAAGUAGAACGCUGAAGGAGGAGCUUGCUCUUCUGGAUGAGUUGCGAACGGGUGAGUAACGCGUAGGUAACCUGCCUGGUAGCGGGGGAUAACUAUUGGAAACGAUAGCUAAUACCGCAUGACAACAGUUAUUGCAUGAUAACUGUUUAAAAGGGGCAACUGCUCCACUACCAGAUGGACCUGCGUUGUAUUAGCUAGUUGGUGAGGUAACGGCUCACCAAGGCGACGAUACAUAGCCGACCUGAGAGGGGGAUCGGCCACACUGGGACUGAGACCCGGCCCAGACUCCUACGGGAGGCAGCAGUAGGGAAUCUUCGGCAAUGGACGGAAGUCUGACCGAGCAACGCCGCGUGAGUGAAGAAGGUUUUCGGAUCGUAAAGCUCUGUUGUAAGAGAAGAACGAGUGUGAGAGUGGAAAGUUCACACUGUGACGGUAUCUUACCAGAAAGGGACGGCUAACUACGUG